rnacentral:rRNA from 1 species
AUGCUGAAACAGGGCAUCAUUCAGCCUAGCCGCAGCCCGUUUCCCUCUCCGGUCCUUUUGGUGCUCAAGAAGAAUGGUGAAUGGCGCUUCUGUGUGGACUAUCGCCACUUGAAUGCGAUUACAGUCAAGAACCGUUACCCACUGCCGAUCAUUGAUGAGCUCCUUGAUGAAUUGGCCGGUUCGGCAUGGUUUACCACUGCUUGA